rnacentral:misc_RNA from 1 species
GAUGAAGAACGUAGCGAAAUGCGAUACGUAAUGUGAAUUGCAGAAUUCAGUGAAUCAUCGAGUCUUCGAACGCACAUUGCGCCCCCUGGUAUUCCGGGGGGCAUGCCUGUCCGAGCGUCAUUGCUGCCCUCAAGCACGGCUUGUGUGUUGGGCCUCCGUCCUCCUCCCGGGGGACGGGCCCGAAAGGCAGCGGCGGCACCGCGUCCGGUCCUCGAGCGUAUGGGGCUUCGUCACCCGCUCUUGUAGGCCCGGCCGGCGCUUGCCGACACAUCAAUCUUUUUUCCAGGUUGACCUCGGAUCAGGUAGGGAUACCCGCUGAACUUAAGCAUAUCAAUAAGCGGAGGA